rnacentral:lncRNA from 1 species
UCCACAUGUACAUGCUUAAAUUAUAUUUUUCCAUUUCUAGAGUUAUGUACAACAUUCCCAGAAGAUAUGGAGAAAAACAAUAUUGGGCUGAAAUGGAGCUCGAAAACAAGAGUGAAUUUAGAAAGUGGAGACUUUGUUGAAUUUGACUGUAAAAAUGGAUAUGUGAGAGAUCCAACAUCUUCUGAAUUUAGAGUACAGUGUGUGGAGGGGAAAUUGGCAUAUCCUAAGUGUAAGAAAAGAGAGCCAUGUACAACAUCCCCAGAAGAUAUGGAGAAAAACAAUAUUGGGCUGAAAUGGAGCUUGAAAACACAGCUUAAUUUAGAAAGUGGAAACUUUGUUGAAUUUGACUGUAAAAAUGGAUAUGUGAGGGAUCCAACAUCUUCUGCAUUUAGAGUACAGUGUGUGGAGGGAAAAUUGGCAUAUCCUAAAUGUAAGAGAAGAGGUACUUCAGAAUGAAUAAAAAGAAGCAUCAAACAAAUAAUUUUAACCCAGAUCUGAGGAGCAGAAGCCAUU